rnacentral:rRNA from 1 species
AUGACGGCGCCGCCGCCUCCUCCUCUUCCUCCGACUGCUCGGUGGUCCGUGGCCGGCCACGGCAGUUUGAUGACGGCACCGCCUCCUCCUCCUCCUCCUCCUGCUCGGUGCUCCGUGGCCGGCGACGGCAGUUUGAUGACGACGCCGCCUCCUCCUCCUCCCACUGCUCGGUGGUCCGUGGCCGGCGACGGCAGUUUGAUGAAGGCGCCGCCUCCUCCUCCUCCUCCUCCUCCUCCGACUGCUCGGUGGUCCGUGGCCGGCGGCGGCAGUUUGAUGAGGGCUCCGCCGAUCCCACUCUCUCGUGAAAGACUCGCUCUACCAUACCAGGACGGUGAGCCACCGGCCACGACCGACGACCUAAGCAUGAGGCCGACAUCCUCUCCGCCACCAACCAGCGCUGAAGAAACACAAGGAGCACGGCGUUCUUCCGUUUCGCCGGCACCCGUCACCACGGGGAUGGCCACCUCUCGCGGGCCGUCUACCCUCAUCGAGGCCGAGGAGGGUCGUGCAACUGAGAGGAAGGAGAUUGUGGUGAAAUUGCUUAAAGCCAGGGCCAAGGACAACCUCGAGCUCGGCGGCAUAGCCGCCAUCUUUGGUUUCGCUGUGCUGUUUGGUUGGUCCUGCUUCCCCGAGGAGAUGAAGCGCCCCGGCAACUUGAAAUUCAUCUUCUCCUUGCUGCUGGCAAUCGCAACCUUCUUCAGCGGCACGGCCCUCACGCUCCUCAGCAUGAACAUCGUCGGCCUGCCGGAGAGCCUCGUCUCCGCCGGCCAGCUGGUCGCCUCCAAGUGCCUAUUUCUCAUCUGCACCGCGCUGUCCGCCAUGACUCUGGUUAGUCUCCUGGCCCUCCUGCCGAGCAUGCUCUACCUGUGCCUUGGCCUCGUCGUGAUGACGGUAGUCGUGCUGCCGGCCAUCGUGGUACACUGUUACAUGCGACGGCACACAGAGGGAGGAGACGAGGCAGCGGCACUCGAGGAGCAUAAGGAGGAGCUGGAGGCCGCAUCAAAGAUCACCUCGUGCGUCACCAACUCGGCGUUCGGGGGACUGGUCGGUGUGCUGUUUAGCGCAUCCAAGUCCAAGGUCUCCGGCGCCCCGACGGCCGUUUACACGGCUAUGUUUUUCAUGUUCUCCACCGCCAUCUUCGGCAUGGUCGUCAUGACAAUGUCGAAGAAAGUAUCGAAGGUCGCCAAUCGGAGGCUCCGGCAGUUGCUCGUCUGGGCGAUCAGGCUCGCCAACGCCUUUUUGCUCUGCUCGCUGGCGUGCGCAGCGUUCGCAGCAUCGUUCGCGGUCAUCAGAUGCCAAAUUUUUGCGGCGUUCGGGCCGUUGGCCAUUACGGCUGUGAUCUGUUUGAUCCUCCAUCAUUGUACUGUCCGCCCUGGCGAAGCCGACCCGAGAAACCAGGAGAAUCAAAAGGCCCGGCUCAAAGUAAUGGAGGACAUGGCGAGCAAGGUGACGGCGGCGACGUUGGGGGCGAUCAUGAGCGUUCUCGCAGGCUCUGUCGGGGAGGAACACCACGAGAAGAAGGGGGCUACGGAUGCAUUCAUGGUUGUCCUGACAUCGACCUUUGUCUCAAGCUUUGGAUUCAUGCUUCUCGCCGCCGCGCCGAGCUCAGCGAGGGUGUACCUUGCACCGGUCUCCAAGGUGCUCAUCUGGUCGUCGGUGGCCUUGUUUGGAGCCACCGCCGUCUCUGUUUAUAGCGCAGAGAUCUCCAGGGCAGUUAGCCAGUAG